rnacentral:rRNA from 1 species
AGUGAACGCUGGCGGUAGGCCUAACACAUGCAAGUCGAACGGCAGCACAGUAAGAGCUUGCUCUUACGGGUGGCGAGUGGCGGACGGGUGAGGAAUACAUCGGAAUCUACUUUUUCGUGGGGGAUAACGUAGGGAAACUUACGCUAAUACCGCAUACGACCUACGGGUGAAAGCAGGGGAUCUUCGGACCUUGCGCGAUUGAAUGAGCCGAUGUCGGAUUAGCUAGUUGGCGGGGUAAAGGCCCACCAAGGCGACGAUCCGUAGCUGGUCUGAGAGGAUGAUCAGCCACACUGGAACUGAGACACGGUCCAGACUCCUACGGGAGGCAGCAGUGGGGAAUAUUGGACAAUGGGCGCAAGCCUGAUCCAGCCAUACCGCGUGGGUGAAGAGGGCCUUCGGGUUGUAAAGCCCUUUUGUUGGGAAAGAAAAGCAGCAGGUUAAUACCCCGCUGUUCUGACGGUACCCAAAGAAUAAGCACCGGCUAGCUUCGUG